UAAAGUUUUUGUGUUUGAUGCAGUUUGCCCACCCAAACUAUCUGCGGGCUACAGUUUGCCCAUUUCUAUUCUAGAUUGCUGUUGGGGUAGAUUAGAAUUGUUGAGCGAAUUGACUAAAUUGCUCCAGUCUUUAGGUGACAAGGGUGAAGACUGACAAUGUGAAUAUGAGAAGUAAGAUCAAGGCAAGAGGUAACAUUUAUUUGAAAUGUAAAAUUAGAAGCUGUCCAAACUGAUAGGUAAAUCAA
rnacentral:lncRNA from 10 species